AGCCCCUUGCAGAGCAAAGGGCUGUCGGCUAUUGACUGACUUUUCGAAGUGUGCUCCUAUUUCUCUUAACUGCUUGGUCUUGAAUAAUGGGCAGGCCUGCCUUGGGCCCAGGGACCACAGAGAUGGCUGAUAAUUAAACAGUCUGCCUGUGUCUUGUCAGAUGCCAAGAAGGCAUCCUUGGAUUUGGGAAGUCUGUCAGGUGACACUUGAGCAUACAAAGAAAUGGAGCAAAUAACUUUUCUGGUGUGUAUAGUUUCAUUUGAUUCCCUGUGCUUGAAGAAAUGAAUCAUUAUUUUUCUUCAGAAGAAGGAACAAAAACUGAUGAAGAGCCAAGCAGGGGUGCUUCCUUGGUAAUGAAGUCCUCCUUUUGUGUUUUGUAGAGGAGUUUUAUUUCCAAAUACCCAUUCCGCAAAAGCUUCAAAAGGCCCCAUCUUCUAACAAUGCGGUGUCCUCAUUGAAGCUGACCUGCCAUGGACCUCUAUUUACCAAAUAUAAAGAUGCUAAUUGUUUCAUGUAUAGGCCUUAACGUGAUUACAGCGGGCAUGGACACUGUUUGUUGUUAUAGCAAUCUGAAUUGAAUUAUCCUUGUGCCAGCAUAAUUAGAAUCACCCCCCAAGUUUAGCGGGCUGGUGUCUUAGCGUGGCAUCACAGCAGCUUGAUACAAACAGUGGCAAUAUCACUCUGAUGCUGGCGACAGCAUACAGGCCCAAUGCUUAAAAACAUGAAAUUUCUUUAAGAAUCGUGAGUGGGAAGUGCUGGUUUUUACGUAAACCCCAGAGAUGGCUUUCCAGUGAGUGUUAUAAGCGCUCAUAAAAAAUAGCAACAGGAGUUAUAAAAAGGAAACUUCCACCAGGCCUUCCUUACUGGACAAAUGCCGUUGCACAGGGGAAACAAUUGUCGUAUUCAAGCCCCUCAACACAGACAUGGCAACAGAGUUUGUGAGCCAUGGCCAGGCUGCCUGGUGGCUGGCACAGUGCUGCGCCUUGGGGAUGGGAGGUGUCCCACUGGUAUCCCCAUUCCCCAGGGCAUUUUGGGAAAAGCAGAUCUGUCAGGGUGGCUGGGCCUGCUGUGCUAGGUUGCCAGCACUGCCCAGGCCUGGUUCCUCCACCACGUCCCAGCCAUGUCCCAGAGACGCUUUUCCCAAGGUCAUUUAAGCGUGACCCACAAAAGCAGCGUGUUGCGUCAGAAAGGACAGAUGCCAGGCCACCCUCAGCAAAAAGCUCUGAGCUACCCCAGCUGCUCAGUCAUCCACAUCAGCAGUCUGACAGUGCUGCUGAGGUGGGUUGGCCUUGGAGGGAUGUCAGGUGCCCACCACGCUGCUCCUUCUCCUCAGCAAGGUGGGGAGAAAAAGUUAUGAUAAGGACAGGGAGAUCUCUCACGACUUACCACCACAGGCAAAACAGACUCAGCUUUUGGAGGAUUUAUUGAAUUUAUUGCCAACUAGUAACAGAGUUGGACAGUGAAAACCAAAAACAAAGAUAAAAAUACCUUUUCCCCAUCACCUUUCUUCCCAGGCUUGACUUUAUUCCUGACCCUUCACCCUCCUCCCUCCGAGGAGUGCAGGGGAACAGGGAAUGCUUUGACUCUGCCACUCCUUCAUGGCCUCUCUCUGCCCCUGCUCCACGUGGAUCCCUCUCACAGGAUGCCAUCCUUCCCGAACCGAUCCCAGUGGGCUUCCCACAGGCUGCAGCUCUCCCAGCAUUGCCCAACGCGGCUCUGUACCACACGACCCAACUGUCAAGCACUGCUCCACACAGGUCCCCACAUGCAGCAGCUCCUCCAGCCCUCCUGCCCCACCACAAGCUGCUCUCUACGUACUGCAGCUCCAGGCCAAGGUGCAGCUGCGGCGGCUCUCCAUGGGCAUUGGCCUCCUCCAGGCCCCAUCCACCACCUCACCACUGGCUCCUCUGUGGCUGCAUAUGGAGAUGUGCCCUGUGUAGUCCCUCUGGGCUGCAGGGGGACAGCCUGCUCCUCUGUGGGCCUCUCCUGGGCUGCAGUCUCUUUCUUCAAUCUACUUUCCCAGAAACACCCAGCAUGCUCAUGGCUCUGACAUGGGGCAGAUGCUGGGCUCUGCUCACACAGACCAGCCCUGCAGCCCCUUGCUACCAAUACCUUGUCAUGUGAACAGUUCAUACCUACACCUCUAACCAACUGGAGCCAUAAACUCCUUUCUCUUGCUAUCCUUUCCUUGGGGAUGCAAAGAGGUUCAGCUUUCCUGGCUGGACCAGAGCAGCAGAAGCAUGUUGAUUCUCGAGCAAUGCCAGAAAUGGGGGCAGCAAUGCACUUGCUCCAUUCACUCACUCGUGAUAUGCAGACAGCUUGGCUCCGCUCUGCCCUGCCUGUGAAGCUGUCCUCCCCGGGGACUGCUCAGAGGGCACCUCCACCAGCAGGUGUCAAGCAAGUGCGUCACCCCUAUCCUGCAAUGAGACACCUACAUUGCCUACAGGUGUUCUUAUUUUUGGCUCUGUAGCUGUGGCUUUGCAACUGUCUUUUUGUCUCUGUUUGGGAGGUAAUGCUGCACUACCUGUAGCCUUAUUACACAGUGAUGUUUUGGGAAGAGACAGAGAAGGUGAAGGAGUAUAUUCAGCUUAAUUUCUGCUGGUUUGAAGGAAAUUCUAUUGGAAGCUUCCUGAGCACCAGGCAGCGUGUGCACAGACUGGAGGUCCCAAAGGAGAUGUGCCUGCUUGCUGCUCAUGGCUGGUUGUGCUUCAGGAAAGCUGUCCCUGAGGACAGGAGCAAGGAGGGCAUCCCUGCCGCAGAGCCCCACACCAGCUCCUACUCACCAGCAGCAAGACCUAGGGCAUCCCUGACAGGUGAUGGCAGGGAUGGGCAGAGAGUAACACGUGGCACAAAGCGCUCUGAAGCAUAGCAAUGCCCAAUGCAGCCAGGAGGGAAAAGGUGUUUGUUUUUCACAGGAACUCCUGCAUGAAUAACUCAGGCACGUGGUCCACCUUCCAAAAAAAAGAUGUUAGUCCAUCAGAGGUGCUAUUCUCUUGGAGGCAGCAGCAAAGCAAGUGUUGCAUUUAAAGCCUGGGUGGUCAGUAUGACAGGAGCCUCACCAUAGCAGAAAAUCACUCUGUCAAAUACUUAAAGGGAUGCUUAGCUUCCAGAAACACACAGUGGAGCAAAAUGAACUGAAAUCCAGGCAAAUGCAUGGUAGCCAGUGGGAUGACUCAUGCGUUUUGAAUUAUGCAGGUGCUUAAGGAAUUUGUGUAACUAGAGAUUGUAGUUUGUUUUUAUUUGCAGCACUUUGCAUGAUUUGAUUUUCUUUAUAUAUAUUGUGACAUCAGAAGCAAGAAAUAGGGUUAAUUCUACUGUGCAUGGGGGAACUGCACAUCUAGUGCAGACUUUCCAGAAACUCACUUGGAGAUUUUCUGAAUAUAUGACCAUUUAGCCAGGGCUGAUAUUCUCUGGGAUCAUGCAAAUCCACUAACGCAAAACAGCCUGGGAAGGAAUCAAUUCACAGGGAAAUGCCCACACAGCAGAGAUCACUGAUCUAAAUGGUCUAAGAUUGCUUCAAAACUGCAAAAUGCUGCAGAACAACAGAGCUACAAAUACAGCUAGGUGAGUAUCAGGGAGGGAGUAAGGUUGUCGCUAUAUUCCACCCCCUCACAAACAGUAAAAUGGAUGAGAAAACAGUGCCUGAAAGACUAAUAUUUACAAUCAUAUAUUUACAUCAUACAAUUGCCACAUAAUUGCCAGUAUUAACUGACCCAAGAAUCAAAUACUGUAGUGAGGAAAUCACUAAUAUUUGCAAUUAGCUGUGUCGAGGUGGGUUAGGUAUGCUUAAUCAAGUCUCUUCUCAAAAGUAACCAGCUGGUUGGUGGUGGGAGUAGUGGUGGGAUAGUGCCAGCAGGAUAAUGCUCAAGGGUCAGAUUCACAUCCUGUUUGACUGCAGUUUUUGUUGAAAAAUGAGUUGGAAGAAGCCUUUUAUUGGAAACGGGAUCAUAGCAUGAUGCAUUCAUGCAUUCAGCUGUCAGUAAAUGUCCUCUUCCAUCCCGCUCUGUCUGCUUCUCUCAGGAGAUCAGUCCCUGUUCUGCUACAGGACACACCCAUCGCCGGCUGGAGCAUCAGACCUGCUCCAGGAGGAUGCCCAUCCAUUACACAGAGAAAGCCUAUGUGUCCUAGGAGAUCCUCAGCAACACCAACAAAACUGAUUUUGCCCCUGUAUGGUAUGAUGAGACCAACUCUGAUGGCUUCCAGCACCCUGUGUUGGUGGUUUAUUCUCCUUGCAGUGCAAGGAAGGCUCCUCCUGGGCCCCAGCAGGCCCACCACUGAGAUUGCCUUCUCUGGACAAUGGUCUCCAGGCAGUGCCAACUUUUGGAAGGAGUCAGCCUUGAUGUACUGCCUAGCCUCCUGCUGACGAGCAGAGGGGAGAUGGAAUGAUGCACAUUGUGGGGCUGGUUUGACAGUGCCCACAGCUUUGAGGCAACACCCCAGAUUCCUGCAGCACUAUGGAUGUCAAGCAGCCAAAGCCAGUCCAGUACUCCAAAAGCAGGACCCAGACAACGCAUGGAUAUCCCACCCACGCAUCGCUGUUUUGCUCCUGCCACUGUGCAGAGGCAGCUGUGCAGCAGAGCUGACACGCCGCCCAACAGAAAGCAGAGGGCAUUCGUUCUCUUUAGAUGUAUGCAAAUGCUUAGGUGCCUAACACCUUCCUUGCACGGAAGAAGAAAUAAACACAUGCAGUCACAAAAAGUA